rnacentral:rRNA from 1 species
CACGGAGUUAGCCGAUCCUUAUUCAUAAAGUACAUGCAAACGGGUAUCCAUACCCGACUUUAUUCCUUUAUAAAAGAAGUUUACAACCCAUAGGGCAGUCAUCCUUCACGCUACUUGGCUGGUUCAGGCUCUCGCCCAUUGACCAAUAUUCCUCACUGCUGCCUCCCGUAGGAGUUUGGACCGUGUCUCAGUUCCAAUGUGGGGGACCUUCCUCUCAGAACCCCUAUCCAUCGAAGACUAGGUGGGCCGUUACCCCGCCUACUAUCUAAUGGAACGCAUCCCCAUCGUCUACCGGAAUACCUUUAAUCAUGUCGAACAUGCGGACUCAUGAUGCCAUCUUGUAUUAAUCUUCCUUUCAGAAGGCUGUCCAAGAGUAGACGGCAGGUUGGAUACGUGUUACUCACCCGUGCGCCGGUCGCCAUCAGUCUUAGCAAGCUAAGACCAUGCUGCCCCUCGACUUGCAUGUGUUAAGCCUGUAGCUAGCGUUCAUCCUGAGCCA